UGCAGACCAAGGGGCUUGACUUCUCACUUCUUGUGUACCUUGAGUUUGAUGGCUGGCUCUUUUCAAGCUGGAGCUGUUGGGGAGCUCCCCAUGUCUGCCAGUCUGCAGUGGAUCAGCUGGAAGAGCUGGAGCAAUUGGAAGGACAACACAGAGUAAAGAGCUAACAGGAGUAAAGGAAAAGUAAGUGAAGUCACUUUCAUCGAGGUAAGAGGAGGGAUCAGUGGAUCAGCUGGAAGAGCUGGAGAAAUUGGAAGGACAACACAGAGUAAAGAGCUAACAGGAGUAAAGGAAAAGUAAGUGAAGUCACUUUCAUCGAGGUAAGAGGAGGGAUGAGAAUAG
rnacentral:lncRNA from 12 species